UCUAAUGCCGUUCAACUGGAAUUGAAGUUUUCAAUCGUUGGAUAUGUCAAAAUUUAAUUAGAUUGUAUAUUGCUCAAUUACUUUCAAAUUAUGUACACCAAGUCAUUCUUGCUCUGGCAAAAUAAGAAUAUUUUCGUUAAUAUAUCAUUCAACUUGAAAUUGCCCAGCUUUUCCUUCUCAUUUCCCCCCAGUCAAAUGAGUUGAAUUAAUACUGUCUAAAAAUAUAUAUUCAUUUGCUUAUUCUAUUCAUUGUGCCAUCUUAUAAAUAAACAGAUGAAUAAACAGAUAUUUUUGGAUAUAAGAGUUAUUGAAAAGCUGCACUCUUCCACUUCCAAAGUUUAACUUCUUCACAGAAGUCAGUUUCAGAGUUGAGAAAAGGAAAUACUUGCUACAUAUUUUGAGGAACAAUAAGUAUUGAAGUUGCAAACAGGUUCUAUGGACAUUUGUCAACAGAAGAUAGCUGAUCACAAAUGCGCAGAGAGGUAGAAAAAUGACACAAUGACCACCCUACCCUCUGAGUCAGCAAAUUGUUUUCUCAGUACAUUUCUACUCUGGUCCUUGUUUAAUAAAACCUCUUUCUCCUU
rnacentral:lncRNA from 1 species